rnacentral:tRNA from 1 species
AGUCUUAUAGUCAAAAUAAUGAUAUCAAACUGCAAUUUUGAAGGUGUAAAUUUUACUAAGGCUU